GGACCCAUAGCUCAGCGGUAGAGCAUCUGAUUCCAGUGUUAAAGGCCAUUUCCAAAAAUUGGCUUAGACAACUGCCUCCAGAAGGUCAUCCGUUCAAAUCGGGUUGGGUUCA